rnacentral:rRNA from 1 species
CCUACGGGCUGCACCAGUGGGGAAUAUUGCACAAUGGGCGCAAGCCUGAUGCAGCCAUGCCGCGUGUAUGAAGAAGGCCUUCGGGUUGUAAAGUACUUUCAGCGGGGAGGAAGGCGGUAAGGUUAAUAACCUUGUCGAUUGACGUUACCCGCAGAAGAAGCACCGGCUAACUCCGUGCCAGCAGCCGCGGUAAUACGGAGGGUGCAAGCGUUAAUCGGAAUUACUAGGCGUAAAGCGCACGCAGGCGGUCUGUCAAGUCGGAUGUGAAAUCCCCGGGCUCAACUUGGGAACUGCAUUCGAAACUGACAGGCUAGAGUCUUGUAGAGGGGGGUAGAAUUCCAGGUGUAGCGGUGAAAUGCGUAGAGAUCUGGAGGAAUACCGGUGGCGAAGGCGGCCCCCUGGACAAAGACUGACGCUCAGGUGCGAAAGCGUGGGGAGCAAACAGGAUUAGAUACCCCUGUAGUC